UAUGACAUUUGUGACACGUUUUGGAAAAUGCAAUAAUCGUUAGAAAUGAAUUUAUAGUGUUUUAACUUUAUAACAUCACAAUGAAACAUACAAUAGAAAUUUGGAGAGCUAAGGUUAAAACAGAAGACAAAAAUGUCGCGUAUAAGGCUCAAAUUCCCGACAACAAACCAAAAAAAGGCAGACAUUUUGAGAGCUGCGUGGACUACGCGGCGCAGACGAAGCACCCGAAGCCUUCGCGAAUGAACUACAAGAAAG